rnacentral:ncRNA from 1 species
UGGAGGUAGAAGGCCCACGGGUCGUGAACUUCUUUUCUCGGAGAGGAAGCAAUAACGGUAUCUAGGGAAUAAGAAUCGACUAACUCUAUGAUAGCAACCGCGGUAAUAUAGAGGAUAC